AAUAGACGUUACCACUAGUUGCACAUUAUGCUUCUGCAUUAUUCAACAAGCUCUCUUAAAUAAACUUUUUGUUUUGUAGUUAACAGUGUCACUCUGGGCAUUGUAUAGCCAUACAUGUACAUGACUAAGCCAUUCAUAGCAAUGUUAUUUCACUUUUAUUUACAUAAACUAAUACCUAAUUUUAUUUAAUGUAUUUUAAGACACAUUAUUGUUUGUUGCAUUUCUGGGUUGUUCUGUUUCGCAUGCACAAC